rnacentral:pre_miRNA from 1 species
UGACUUUGUUUGACAACGAGAGAGAGCACGCUUGUCGGCACCCAUGAAAGGGCCAUGGAUGUUUACGGGCGUGCUCUCUCUUGUUGUCAUACAGUCUAUCA